CGAGUCUUUGUAGUAAUACAAGGCAUACGGCUCAGUAACGCGUAGUCAACCUACCCUAUGGACAAGAAUAAUCUCGGGAAACUGAGCAUAAUUCUUGAUAGAUCAUAAUGCCUGGAAUGGUUUAUGGUUAAAAUGAUUCGUCGCCAUAGGAUGGGACUGCGGCCUAUCAGCUUGUUGGUGAGGUAAUGGCCCACCAAGGCGAUUACAGGUACGGGCUCUGAGAGGAGAAGCCCGGAGAUGGGUACUGAGACACGGACCCAGGCCCUAUGGGGCGCAGCAGGCGAGAAAACUUUGCAAUGUGCGAAAGCACGACAAGGUUAAUCCGAGUGAUUUCUGCUAAAGAAAUCUUUUGUCAGUCAUAAAACCACUGGCGAAUAAGGGGUGGGCAAGUUCUGGUGUCAGCCGCCGCGGUAAAACCAGCACCUCAAGUGGUCAGGAUGAUUAUUGGGCCUAAAGCAUCCGUAGCCGGCUCUGUAAGUUUUCGGUUAAAUCUGUACGCUCAACGUACAGGCUGCCGGGAAUACUGCAAAGCUAGGGAGUGGGAGAGGUAGACGGUACUCGGUAGGAAGGGGUAAAAUCCUUUGAUCUAUUGAUGACCACCUGUGGCGAAGGCGGUCUACCAGAACACGUCCGACGGUGAGGGAUGAAAGCUGGGGGAGCAAACCGGAUUAGAUACCCGGGUAGUCCCAGCUGUAAACCAUGCAAACUCAGUGAUGCAUUGGCUUGUGGCCAAUGCAGUGCUGCAGGGUAGCCGUUAAGUUUGCCGCCUGGGAAGUACGUACGCAAGUAUGAAACUUAAAGGA
rnacentral:rRNA from 1 species